rnacentral:lncRNA from 1 species
AAGAGAGCGCGGCCGUGGGAGAGCGGCGCGAGGAGCGGGCUGUGCCGCGAGGUGCGCGGCCCCGCACGCAGCCAGCUGCAGCCGCCGACCCCACAGCCGUCCCGGUUCCGGUGAGAGCCCGGCUCUCCCAGGCAGCAUCUGCAGUCCUGGGGACACCACUGCUGAGUCUGACCUUCAAAUCUCUCGAAGGAGGCACGUGGUGCAGAGGAGGGGAUGUGAGAGCUGCUCUGCCCCGGAUGGAUGGACUGUGUGAGGGUGCAUGAGGCAAGCCUUGACUCCAGAGUCUCUUCCCCAAGUGAUGAAGAGCAAACCUCGCUCUGGUUGGUCCCACAGCACUGCUGCUAACCACAGCAGCAGCAGCAGCUCUCCGCACUCCCACCACAUGCAGAACCCAGCACAGCUGGGAUGCUGCUCACCCAGGCAUUGUCCAGAGGGAGCGCCAUUCCCC